rnacentral:rRNA from 1 species
AUUGAACGCUGGCGGCAUGCCUUACACAUGCAAGUCGAACGGCAGCACGGGGCAACCUGGGGGCGAGUGGCGAACGGGUGAGUAAAGCAUCGGAACGUAGCUUCCAGUGGGGGAGAACGUAUCGAGAGGUACGCUAAUACAGCGUAUUCGGUGAGCAGGAAAGCAGGGGAUCGCGAGACCCUGCGCUGAGUGAGCGGGCGAUGUCAGAUUAGCGAGUUGGUGGGGUAAAGGCUCACCAAGGCGACGCUCUGUAGCGGGUCUGAGAGGAUGAUCCGCCACACUGGAACUGAGACACGGUCCAGACUCCUACGGGAGGCAGCAGUGGGGAAUUUUGGACAAUGGGGGCAACCCUGAUCCAGCCAUGCCGCGUGAGUGAAGAAGGCCUUCGGGUUGUAAAGCUCUUUCGGCCGGGAAGAAAUCGCACGGGCUAAUACCCUGUGUGGAUGACGGUACCGGAAUAAGAAGCACCGGCUAACUACGUGCCAGCAGCCGCCGUAAUAC